GACGUAGGGCGCGAGCGUUGUCCGGAUUUAUUGGGCGUAAAGAGCUCGUAGGCGGUCUGUCGCGUCGGCUGUGAAAACCCGGGGCUCAACUCCGGGCCUGCAGCCGAUACGGGCAGACUAGAAUUCGGUAGGGGAGACUGGAAUUCCUGGUGUAGCGGUGAAAUGCGCAGAUAUCAGGAGGAACACCGGUGGCGAAGGCGGGUCUCUGGGCCGAUAUUGACGCUGAGGAGCGAAAGCGUGGGGAGCAAACAGG
rnacentral:rRNA from 1 species